UGGGGAAUUUUGGACAAUGGGCGCAAGCCUGAUCCAGCAAUGCCGCGUGCAGGAUGAAGGCCUUCGGGUUGUAAACUGCUUUUGUACGGAACGAAACGGCGAGCUCUAAUACAGUUUGCUAAUGACGGUACCGUAAGAAUAAGCACCGGCUAACUACGUGCCAGCAGCCGCGGUAAUACGUAGGGUGCAAGCGUUAAUCGGAAUUACUGGGCGUAAAGCGUGCGCAGGCGGUUAUGUAAGACAGAUGUGAAAUCCCCGGGCUUAACCUGGGAACUGCAUUUGUGACUGCAUAGCUAGAGUACGGUAGAGGGGGAUGGAAUUCCGCGUGUAGCAGUGAAAUGCGUAGAUAUGCGGAGGAACACCGAUGGCGAAGGCAAUCCCCUGGACCUGUACUGACGCUCAUACACGAAAGCGUGGGGAGCAAACA
rnacentral:rRNA from 1 species